rnacentral:misc_RNA from 1 species
GAAAUGCGAUAAGUAGUGUAAAUUGCAGAAUUUAGUGAAUUAUCGAAUCUUUAAACGUACAUUGCGCCCCUUGGUAUUCCAUAGGGCACGCCUGUUCGAGCGUCAUCUACACCCUUAAGCUAUACUUAGUAUUAGGCGUCUGUCCCGCCUCCGCGCGCGGACUCGCCCCAAAUCUAUUAGCAGCGGACUCGCCCCCUCCCGUGCAGCACAUUGCGCUUCUCGAGGUGUUACAGCUCGCUUCCACAAAGCACCCAUUACCGUCUUUAACCUCAGAUCAGGUGUGAAAACCCGCUAAACUUAAGC